rnacentral:rRNA from 1 species
UGCCAUACCAUGCUGGAUAUAUAAAUUUUCGUAAGAUCACCGAAAUCAAGCAUCAUUGUGCGCGGUCAGUACUUGGGUGGGUGACCACCUGGGAACACCGCGUGCCGUUG